rnacentral:rRNA from 1 species
GACGAAGGAUGCAAGCGUUAUCCGGAUUCAUUGGGUUUAAAGGGUGCGUAGGCGGGCUUGUAAGUCAGUGGUGAAAUCUGUGGGCUUAACCCACAAACUGCCAUUGAUACUGCAGGUCUAGAGUACAGUUGCCGUUGGCGGAAUAUGACAUGUAGUGGUGAAAUACUUAGAUAUGUCAUAGAACACCGAUUGCGAAGGCAGCUAACGAAACUGUAACUGACGCUGAGGCUCGAAAGUGCGGGGAUCAAACAGG